rnacentral:tRNA from 5 species
GGAGAGGUGGCCGAGUGGCCGAAGGCACCGGUUUGCUAAACCGGCACAGGUCAAAAGCCUGUCGCGGGUUCAAAUCCCGCCCUCUCCGCCA